UACGGGGGGGGGCAAGCGUUGUUCGGAAUUACUGGGCGUAAAGGGCUCGUAGGCGGCCAACUAAGCCAGACGUGAAAUCCCUCGGCUUAACCGGGGAACUGCGUCUGAUACUGGAUGGCUUGAGGUUGGGAGAGGGAUGCGGAAUUCCAGGUGUAGCGGUGAAAUGCGUAGAUAUCUGGAGGAACACCGGUGGCGAAGGCGGCAUCCUGGACCGGCAUUGACGCUGAGACGCGAAAGCGUGGGGAGCGAACGAGG
rnacentral:rRNA from 1 species